GCUCAGGACGAACGCUGGCGGCGUGCUUAACACAUGCAAGUCGAGCGGUAAGGCCCUUCGGGGUACACGAGCGGCGAACGGGUGAGUAACACGUGGGCAACCUGCCCUGCACUCUGGGAUAACCUCGGGAAACCGGGGCUAAUACCGGAUACGACCUUCCCCCGCAUGGGGGUGGGUGGAAAGUUCCGGCGGUGCAGGAUGGGCCCGCGGCCUAUCAGCUUGUUGGUGGAGUAAUGGCCUACCAAGGCGACGACGGGUAGCCGGCCUGAGAGGGCGACCGGCCACACUGGGACGGAGAUACGGCCCAGACUCCUACGGGAGGCAGCAGUGGGGAAUAUUGCGCAAUGGGCGAAAGCCUGACGCAGCGACGCCGCGUGAGGGAUGACGGCCUUCGGGUUGUAAACCUCUUUCAGCGCCGAAGAAGCGAAAGCGACGGUAGGCGCAGAAGAAGCACCGGCUAACUACGUGCCAGCAGCCGCGGUAAUACGUAGGGUGCGAGCGUUGUCCGGAAUUAUUGGGCGUAAAGAGCUCGUAGGCGGUUUGUCGCGUCGGCUGUGAAAACCUACAGCUUAACUGUGGGCGUGCAGACGAUACGGGCAGACUUGAGUUCGGUAGGGGAGACUGGAAUUCCUGGUGUAGCGGUGGAAUGCGCAGAUAUCAGGAGGAACACCGGUGGCGAAGGCGGGUCUCUGGGCCGAUACUGACGCUGAGAGCGAAAGCGUGGGGAACGAACAGGAUUAGAUACCCUGGUAGUCCACGCCGUAAACGGUGGGCGCUAGGUGUGGGGGAUUUCCACGUCCUCCGUGCCGUAGCUAACGCAUUAAGCGCCCCGCCUGGGGAGUACGGCCGCAAGGCUAAAACUCAAAGGAAUUGACGGGGGCCCGCACAAGCGGCGGAGCAUGUGGAUUAAUUCGAUGCAACGCGAAGAACCUUACCUGGGUUUGACAUGCACUGGAUGGCCUCAGAGAUGGGGUUUCCGUAAGGUCAGUGUGCAGGUGGUGCAUGGCUGUCGUCAGCUCGUGUCGUGAGAUGUUGGGUUAAGUCCCGCAACGAGCGCAACCCUUGUUCCAUGUUGCCAGCACGUAAUGGUGGGGACUCAUGGGAGACUGCCGGGGUCAACUCGGAGGAAGGUGGGGAUGAGGUCAAGUCAUCAUGCCCCUUAUGUCCAGGGCUUCACACAUGCUACAAUGGCCGGUACAGAGGGCUGCGAAAUCGCAAGGUGGAGCGAAUCUCUUAAAGGGGGUCUCAGUUCGGAUCGGGGUCUGCAACUCGACCCCGUGAAGUCGGAGUCGCUAGUAAUCGCAGAUCAGCAACGCUGCGGUGAAUACGUUCCCGGGCCUUGUACACACCGCCCGUCACGUCAUGAAAGUCGGUAACACCCGAAGCCCGUGGCCCAACCCUUGUGGGGGGAGCGGUCGAAGGUGGGACUGGCGAUUGGGG
rnacentral:rRNA from 1 species